GAUUCAAUUUCGGCCCAAAUCUUUGAAAUAACCUUUCCUUUUUAUUUGGGCCUGUGAUGGAGAUCUUCUUCCCAUGGCAUGGAAGACCCACGAUCAGUGCUACUUCCUCCACAUUGAAUCUAAGUACUUUAUCCCAAAAAGUGAACUCAUCAUCUCCUUUAUGACAUCUGAUUAUAUCUGCAAGAAGUGAUCCUUCGACUAUGAAUGGC
rnacentral:lncRNA from 1 species